CCCCUCAAUGAUUUUGAGUUGAUCUCCUUCCUACUUGCAGGCCUAGGAUCUGAAUUUGAUCCUUUUGUGACAUCAGUCACCACCCGCGUGGAACCUCUAUCACUUGAAGAAUUAUACGGUCACCUCCUGACUCACGAGA